rnacentral:rRNA from 1 species
GACGAACGCUGGCGGCGUGCUUAACACAUGCAAGUCGAACGGAAAGGCCCUGCUUGCCGGGUACUCGAGUGGCGAACGGGUGAGUAACACGUGGGUGAUCUGCCCUGCACUUCGGGAUAAGCUUGGGAAACUGGGUCUAAUACCGGAUAGGACCGCACUUUAGUGUGUGUGGUGGAAAGUUUUUUCGGUGUAGGAUGAGCUCGCGGCCUAUCGGCUUGUUGGUGGGGUAAUGUCCUACCAAGGCGGCGACGGGUAGCCGGCCUGAGAGGGUGUACGGCCACAUUGGGACUGAGAUACGGCCCAGACACCGACGGGAGGCAGCAGGGGGGAAUAUUGCACAAUGGGCGCAAGCCGGAUGCAGCGACGCCGCGGGGGGGAGGAAGGCCUUCGGGUUGUAAACUCCUUUCGCUAGGGACGAAGCUUUUUGUGACGGUACCUAGAGAAGAAGCACCGGCUAACUACGUG